GCCCUGCGAGGCAGCGGCGGCCGCCUCUGAAAGUGCCGCGAGCCGGCGGCGCCCAGCGCGGGGCAGGGGAAGAUGAGAGAGCAGCAUAAGAAAGAAGUGUUGAGAGCUGCUCUUAACCCUUUUGGAGGCCAAAGUCAAAAGGGAACUAGAGGGCUUGACGCAUCCUUUACAUCCUGCAUUUACUCUGACCACAGUCCCUCCCUGUUCUCACGAGCGGAGCUCAGCCCUGCUUCCCUUCCUGUUGAUUCCCAGUCAGCUACAUGACUGCCUGAAGUUACAUUGUAGAUGCUGAAAUCACUGCACCUUAAAAACAAAAAGAUUAAGCCACACUGCAUUCCUGUAAGUAAAAGCUUUUCCGGUACCUUUUGUCCGUAUUUUUCCUCUAUAUGCAUCCAAAGUGUUAGCACAGUAGCUGGUCUUGGAUAAAGGUCAGAGUCCCCUUGAAUGGGAU
rnacentral:lncRNA from 1 species